AAAAAGGGUGUCUACCGCUUCUAUGGUACGUGGGUCCAAUGCGACUCGCGGGGUAUGGCCAUCAAUACAUACCCGGCACGUAAUUUUUGGAAACGCGGGCAGUUGGCUACCACAGUGUGCCGGCGUCCGC